GGCCCAGUAGCCGGCAGGAAGCGGCCCCGCCCUUCGCGUGCGGCCUUGGGGCCGGGGCGGGAGCCUGGCUGCGCGCUCGCACUUGACCUGCAUCCGGGUUUUCUUGUUAAGCGCAGGUUGGGACCUGGGACCUGGGACCCUUUGCUGCAGUACUUGCACCUGGACGAAUAUCUCCUCGACCAGCAGAAUACAAGAAACUCUAAGGAACUAAAAAUAACUGCCCACAUGUGCAGUUGGGGCAAAAUAUGAACAAUGAGGUACAACAAGGCCAAAACCCAGCUGCCACUUCUGCGGUGCCAGGAGCAAAGGCGGGGUCCUGCGCAUGGUCCCUACAAGGGGUGGGCAGACCCCCUAAGCUGCCCCUCUGGCCUACCCACUGAUCCACCCCCCCUCACCGCAUUUAAGGGACCAGCUUGUCACCCCCUCAGGGAGUGCGCAAGGACACCUGUUACAUGUUUUUGCUCCCUUGUGCCGCAGCGAUAAAGCCUUACCUGAAUUCCUUGUCUGGCCUCAUCAAUUUCUAUUGAUUAAAGAAUCCAAACACCCAGA